CCCCUCUCAGAAUCACACCUGAAGAGUUUCCAGUGCUCUACCAUUCUUGGCUACAGGAGGAGGAGUCAAGCAGAGGCAUACCCAUUCCAUUCCUAGCUUGGGCAGUGGCUAGUGAGUGGAAAGCAAUCUGCUACAAGU